rnacentral:rRNA from 1 species
UACGGGGGGGGCAAGCGUUGUUCGGAAUUCCUGGGCGUAAAGGGCUCGUAGGUGGCCCACUAAGUCAGACGUGAAAUCCCUCAGCUUAACUGGGGAACUGCGUCUGAUACUGGAUGGCUUGAGUUUGGGAGAGGGAUGCGGAAUUCCAGGUGUAGCGGUGAAAUGCGUAGAUAUCUGGAGGAACACCGGUGGCGAAGGCGGCAUCCUGGACCAACACUGACACUGAGGAGCGAAAGCCAGGGGAGCAAACGGG